AUACUUACUUGGAGGGAGAAACACUGUGAUUACGGAGGUGGUGUUUUUUUCUGGGCGUGGUUCACUUUGUGUUGAUCUCUGCGAUUUCUCCAAAUGUGGGUAACUCCACUGUAUAAGUUCGCAC
rnacentral:snRNA from 10 species